CGGGGCUCUGGGCACUUGUGCAUGCUUGCUGUGGCGCUGUGAGGGCUGGCAGAUGGCUGGUGUGUCUGAUGGAGCUAGCUUAGGGACACAGGCAGCAAAAGCAUUGCAAAUGCAUCUAGGCAGGAGAAACUUAACCCUAAAAGUGGGCAGGAGAAAGAAAGGUAAAUGGGUGUUCAUAUUUGAUGUCAAAAUGUCAUCAUAUUAUGCUAUUCAGAAGUGUUUUGAGACAUUUUAGUUUUUUUUGGUAACUUAAUCAUUCAAUAGAAUAUCUAUGAAAUUCCAACUAAAUGGUGUCUAAAAUUUUAAGCAGCAGUCUACAGGCAAAGCGCCAACAUUUCUUUUCUAAAAAUUAUUUAUGAUAACAUCUAGCAUUUUAAAAUCAACCAGAAACUAGGCUUGAUUCUGUUUAAUAUUUUAUAAGAUUGGACAUCUUAAAAUAAGUCAAUAAUGUUUAUAUUUUAUAGCAACUCUGUGUUUCUUCAAAACCAUAUUUCUGCUGUGAUGUUAAUGGAAUGACUUUAUAUGGCUUUAAUUGUGUUGGUUUAAGUGCUAAUGACCACUUUUCAAAUUAAAAUAGUAUUUUGCUGAUAGAGGUAGACACAGAUAUGAGAUAUGAAAGAAUAGAUAAUUUUACUGUUUGUAAAGUGUUUAUCCCAAGAAAAAAAAUGUUCUUUUUUUUAGGGCUGUGGAAAAGUAAUUUUUUCAAGAGUCUAAGAUAGUUUUCUGUAUUUCUGGGGAUUGGAACUUGUGCCUAUGGAAUUUUGGGAGCAGCCUAAGCUACCUUUUAGCUUGAUAUGUGUGCUAGAAAAACUUCAUUACCAUGUUUUGUGAUAUGUAAUAAAUUCAGGGUGCUGUGCUUAAGCUUCAUGUCAAUUCUAGUUUGGGAACAUCUGUUUCCCUCACUCCCAGUCGUGGGGGACAGCCUGACCUGGCCCUACCCAGAACACAUGUGAAAAAGUAGAGUCAGUCCCUGACUCUUAUGAGGUCUGUUUUUUCCUGCCUGGAACAAGCAGAAUAUAAUCAUG
rnacentral:lncRNA from 1 species